GACGAACGCUGGCGGCGUGCCUAAUACAUGCAAGUCGAGCGAAUGGAUUGAGAGCUUGCUCUUAUGAAGUUAGCGGCGGACGGGUGAGUAACACGUGGGUAACCUGCCCAUAAGACUGGGAUAACUCCGGGAAACCGGGGCUAAUACCGGAUAACAUUUUGAACCGCAUGGUUCGAAAUUGAAAGGCGGCUUCGGCUGUCACUUAUGGAUGGACCCGCGUCGCAUUAGCUAGUUGGUGAGGUAACGGCUCACCAAGGCAACGAUGCGUAGCCGACCUGAGAGGGUGAUCGGCCACACUGGGACUGAGACACGGCCCAGACUCCUACGGGAGGCAGCAGUAGGGAAUCUUCCGCAAUGGACGAAAGUCUGACGGAGCAACGCCGCGUGAGUGAUGAAGGCUUUCGGGUCGUAAAACUCUGUUGUUAGGGAAGAACAAGUGCUAGUUGAAUAAGCUGGCACCUUGACGGUACCUAACCAGAAAGCCACGGCUAACUACGUGCCAGCCGCCGCUGUAA
rnacentral:rRNA from 1 species